CCUACGGGGGGCUGCAGUGGGGAAUAUUGCACAAUGGGGGAAACCCUGAUGCAGCAACGCCGCGUGAGCGAUGAAGGCCUUCGGGUCGUAAAGCUCUGUCCUAAGGGAAGGAUACUGACGGUACCUUAGGAGGAAGCCCCGGCUAACUACGUGCCAGCAGCCGCGGUAAUACGUAGGGGGCUAGCGUUAUCCGGAAUUACUGGGCGUAAAGGGUGCGUAGGCGGACCUUCAAGUCAGAGGUGAAAGGCUACGGCUCAACCGUAGUAAGCCUUUGAAACUGUAGGACUUGAGUGCAGGAGAGGAGAGUGAAUGUCCCAGUGUAGAGGUGAAAUGCGUAGAUAUUUGGAGGAACAUCAGUUGCGAAGGCGGCUCGAUGGACUGUAACUGACGCUGAGGUACGAAAGCGUGGGGAGCGAACAGGAUUAGAUACUCCUGAAGUC
rnacentral:rRNA from 1 species